CACGACUGGCUUAAAAAUCUUUAGGUUAUUUUAAAGUGGCAUCUUUUUAUUUGGCUUCUGGUUUUUAACCUGUAGGUCACACUGGAAAUCACAUUUGCAAGCUCUUCUCCUCAACCAUGAAGGCUGCCAACUUAAUUGUUUCUCUUAAUCCUAGCUGAGAUUCUCAAGUAGUCACUUAUCUCCAGGCACUGGGACUUUAAAUAGAAUAUCAAAUAUUGUGAGACUUGUAAUAAAAUUGUGAGAAUGGGUAAUAACACUGUUUCUGUGACCUAAUAGGGCUUUUAAUCUCAACUUCUGUGAUUCACUGUGGAGUUACACAUCUUUUGGGAGGUUGGCAAACACCCCAAUCCUCAGUUCAGCAUAAUGACACAACAGCCUGAUGCAAGCCCCUUCAUAGUGAAAUGGUGGUGGGGAAUACAGAAGAUUUUGCAGCAUGUUAAGGUUCCUGUCUUCAUACCUGAUCAAUGGGAGACUGGGAGCCUGAGAAGCAACUGGAAAACCACAGAUGCUCCUGUUCACUGUAAAGUAAAGCAAAUGAUGAAACAAUAAAAGGCACCCAACACAAACAGCAAUUCAGCAAAACAGGGAAACAAAGACAACUGAGGAACUGUCUCUGUCCAUAAUAAAGGGAAGAACCAAGGAGAAAGCAAGUGGCCAGACGCUUCUUGUACGAAAAUUCACAUUUUCUGCUGUGGCUCUCCCUACAAAAUCCAGGAUCGCAAGAGAGUACUGUGAUUCCUGGCUUGAUAAGCA